rnacentral:lncRNA from 1 species
GUGAAAGAAGAACCUCAAUGUAGCCCAUAUAAAUUGCUGAGUAAUAAUACAUUUAUGGAUUGUUAAGUUGGCUAAUAGAUACUGGGUGCCCCAAGAAUAAACUACCAUUCGACCCAAAGGUCUUGGAGGAUGUCUAUGAGAAAGUGAUUCUAAAGUCCGUGUUCGCCAUUAGGAAGAUCAUGUUACUGGAGUUCAGGUGGAUUUUGACCCUUUUGGCCUCAAUACCUUAUCAAUGA